AGUCUCAGGGCACUGAUGAAAAGACCAGGGUCCCAGUGGCCCACAAACCCUCUGGAUUAGGGGCUUCAGCUCCAAGGACUGAGCCCUGAGCCAUGGCCUUCCUCCAUCAUGGCUUCCCUGGGAGGGCCUGGCAGGCACAUGGAGGCCUCGGGAGACCCCAGGAGCCCACAGACUUUGAGUAAAGCCGAUGAUGUGCCAGUGUAUGGUGGGCCUCAGCCAAUCAGCUGAAGGCCUUAACAGAAAGAAGACUGAGAUCCCUGAGGAGGAAGGAAUUCUGCCAGCGACAGACUCGGGACUCACAAUGAGGCAUCAACUCUUCCCUGGGUCUCCAACCUGCCCUGAGGUUUUAGACUUGCUGCCUCCAUAAUUACACAGGCCAACUUUAAACAAUAAAUCCCUCUCUCUCCGCAUAUAUACCUAUCA
rnacentral:lncRNA from 1 species